rnacentral:rRNA from 1 species
GGACGGAAAGACCCCGUGGAGCUUUACUGUAGCCUGAUAUUGAAAUUCGGCACAGCUUGUACAGGAUAGGUAGGAGCCUUUGAAACGUGAGCGCUAGCUUACGUGGAGGCGCUGGUGGGAUACUACCCUAGCUGUGUUGGCUUUCUAACCCGCACCACUUAUCGUGGUGGGAGACAGUGUCAGGCGGGCAGUUUGACUGGGGCGGUCGCCUCCUAAAAGGUAACGGAGGCGCUCAAAGGUUCCCUCAGAAUGGUUGGAAAUCAUUCAUAGAGUGUAAAGGCAUAAGGGAGCUUGACUGCGAGACCUACAAGGCGAGCAGGGUCGAAAGACGGACUUAGUGAUCCGGUGGUUCCGCAUGGAAGGGCCAUCGCUCAACGGAUAAAAGCGACCCCGGGGAUAACAGGCUUAUCUCCCCCAAGAGUUCACA